UACGGAGGGUGCAAGCGUUGUUCGGAAUUACUGGGCGUAAAGCGCGUGUAGGCGGCUUGGCAAGUCAGACGUGAAAGCCCUCGGCUUAACCGGGGAAGUGCGUCUGAAACUGCCUUGCUUGAGUACGGGAGAGGGAGGCGGAAUUCCCAGUGUAGAGGUGAAAUUCGUAGAUAUUGGGAGGAACACCGGUGGCGAAAGCGGCCUCCUGGACCGAUACUGACGCUGAGACGCGAGAGCGUGGGGAGCAAACAGG
rnacentral:rRNA from 1 species